rnacentral:rRNA from 1 species
CCUACGGGAGGCAGCAGUGGGGAAUAUUGGGCAAUGGAGGAAACUCUGACCCAGCAAUGCCGCGUGAAUGAAGAAGGUCUUCGGAGUGUAAAGUUCUUUAGUCAGGGAAGAAGAAAAUGACGGUACCUGAAGAAUAAGCUACGGCUAACUACGGGCCAGCAGCAGCGGGAAUACGUAGGGAGCAAGCGUUGGUCGGAAUGACUGGGCGUAAAGGGUGCGGAGGCGGUUAUACAAGUUAGAAGUGAAAUACCCAGGGCUUAACUCGGGUUCUGCUUCUAAAACUGUAAGACUUGAGUGCAGUAGAGGUUAGUGGAAUUCCUAGUGUAGCGGUGAAAUGCGUAGAUAUUAG